UGGCCGCACUAUACGUCCAGGCAGGACUAAUAGACAUUUUAUCCAAGAACGGUUGCAUUGCCGAUGCCUCCGAUGUCCUGGGCCGCACUCCACUGCAUAUGGCGCCAUUGAAGUGACAUCAAAACAUCAUUGUGAGUAAAAUGUGUGUAUUUUAUCCACGUUCUAGGCAAACCAGACUUAAUGUCAAAUGUCAUCUAAGAUUGACCUGUGCAGUCUGCACAGGCUAAUCUGGGACAACACUUACCACAGGUCUGCACAGGCUAAUCUGGGACAACACUUACCACAGGUCUGCACAGGCUAAUCUGGGACAACACUUACCACAGGUCUGCACAGGCUAAUCUGGGACAACACUUACCACAGGUCUGCACAGGCUAAUCUGGGACAACACUUACCACAGGUCUGCACAGGCUAAUCUGGGACAACACUUACCACAGGUCUGCACAGGCUAAUCUGGGACAACACUUACCACAGGUCUGCACAGGCUAAUCUGGGACAACACUCACCACAGGUCUGCACAGGCUAAUCUGGGACAACACUUACCACAGGUCUGCACAGGCUAAUCUGGGACAACACUUACCACAGGUCUGCACAGGCUAAUCUGGGACAACACUUACCACAGGUCUGCACAGGCUAAUCUGGGACAAC